AACUAUACUUGAUUUUACGGCGAGGGGUUUUUGAAAAGAUUUUUACAAAACGUUAUGUUUUUUACCCACUCAACUUUGUUUUUUGCCCUUCUAGGUUUAGUAGUUGUGCUUACAUGUAAACGAGAAUUCUGGCAAAUCUCAGGAGAUGGUUAUCUUCAGUGGUAUAACCCUCAUCCUAUUUACUAUACUAUCUUAUGCUCUGACAUCACGUGUGAAAUGGGUUCAAUCCCGCUCACCCGCGCACUCUUUUGAUUAGGCACUUUUAGGUUUAAAUUUAUUCACAUCCUUUUUCCACUACACUACACUUUAUGGUUUUGUCACCAUCCAAGUGUUGGCCAGCACAACUCGAUUUGGAGUCCAAAUGAACAUUCCGGGUCGGGGUGUGUCAACAACUGUCCAUAACCCCUAUUCAAAGGACCUCAAAGUUUUUAUUGUUAAUAUGUAUACAUGUAAAUAUUUAAUAUUAGACUUUUUUUAUACAAUGAUAUAUUUACACUAAAGGAUGAAGAAUAAAUUAAUUACGAACUCACCAUUUUCGAGAUUCGAACAUAAAGCCACUCAUUCACAAAUAAAAAAAAUACCACUAAAUUGUAAUAAUCUCAAACUAGUUAUUUAUUAAUAGAACAAUUAAAAAAAUUAACUAUAAUAUACGCCUCUCUCUUUCACAAACCUAGCGUCCAUUUAACAUUCCUUUUUCUUUUUUAUCUUCCAUGCUCUCUUUUUCAAUCUUGUUUUUCAUAUAUCUAUUAAGCUCUCAACUCAAACUUUAGUUAUGCGAAAAAUAAGAAACUAAUAAAUAUGUUAUUCGAUUGAAGUUGUUGAAAAAUUACUUGCAGUCUAUUAUGACAUAGAAAAGAUUAAAUGGAUGGCCAUCUUGGAGAAGGAUAUUUGUUGGAAAUGUUUGAUUUAAAAAUUUGAAUGAUGAUUUUGCCUCUAGGAAUACUAAAAGAAGAAAUUUUUAUAAAUGUAUGCUUAUAUAUUUAUAUUAGUCGAACUAUUAAUUAUGAUUUAUGCCUUGAAAAGAGACAUAUCUAUGGAGACAGACAAUUUGUACAUUUUAUUUUUCUUGAGAAAAUAAUGGGUAAAAAAAAAAUGCCCCAAUGUAAUCUUUCGCCCUAGGCCACUAAAAACUCAAGAACUGCCUGACAUAAACCCUGUCUUGAAGGCCAAAAAAGAUAUUAUAUCUAUUUAAGGGGUAUAGUGAAAUUCUGCUGUGUAAGAUAUAUGUGUUUCGACAAAAAAUCAAUCAUAUUGAAGAUCAUUUAAUUUGUCAUGCAUAAAUAUUAAAUAUGAAAGGUUCAUAAUGAGGUUUAUAAGUAUGACCAAACGGUCUUUAAGUGGCUUGAUUUGUUGUAUAAAUAUUUUUGAGAAAUACUAAAGAUUCUUUUAAAGUGAUGCUCUCCAUGGACUCUUCACCACAUCAUGUUUUUUGCAAAGAUUUUAUAAUGUUUAUGCGAGAAUUGUGCUAAAAAUAUAAGAUGACGAAAAGUCCAAUUUUUUAAAGAGUCUCCUUAGCAUAAGUGAGAAUUAAGAAAAUGAGCAUCCGAUUAUGAAACGUGCACAAUUUAAACUCAAGUUAUAGACAUUAAGACUACAUUAUUGCCUUGUCAUAAAGGCGCAUCAAAAUUUUAGUUUUACCUGUUUAAUUAUGUUGUUAUUUGUUUGUUAGCCUUCUAAUUAGUUGGUUAAACCAGUACGCAUGUGCUAUGAAUUAUCAUUUAUAAUGUUAUUCAUUGUUUCUAUCCAUAUUAGAGAAUACAAGUGUUAAGUCUCUGUACUUAUAUUGUCAAUUACUUUUGAGUGAAGUGCUCAUUUUAACAUUGUAUUAUGGUAGACUAUCGACAUGUCAAAACACAACCCGCUUAUUUGUUUCUUCAUCUACUCAAACAUGGCAGCUCAGGUAUGAGAGCCUUGAGAUAUACAGAAAUUAACCAGCUCAUACUUAAACUAGUUAAACUGCUAUUUCAAUUUAAGCUUGAAUAUCAAAAUUGCAAGCUAGAUUCAUGGUUCAAGCUCUCAACUAAUUAUAAUUAAGUAGAUAUCCAGUACGAAACUAACCAACUAAGGAACAUUACAUUUGUAUUUUACUGUUAAGACGUACUGCAUUAAUGAGACCUAAAGAAUGAUGAAAUUGGAGUUCUACCAUAAAACCAAUUGGCCAUAUGAGGAGUAGCACAAGACCAUAUAAGCCCAUAGCAAGACAUGUCCCUCACCGAUGUGGGACAAAUUUUUCCUCACAUCAUCAAAUCUCAACACAUCCCCGCACGUGUGGCCGAUUUUCAAGUCUACACGUGGACAACAACUGGGUGACGCGUAAGCACAUGUGGCCCUUGGGCUGUCACACGAGGGACAACCUGCUCUAAUACUAUGAUGAAAUUGGGGUUCCAUAAAAAAAUUAAUUGGUAAUAUAAGAAGUAACCCAAAACAAUAUAAGCUCAUAGCAAAGCAUGUCCCUCACCGAUAUGAGACAAACUUUUCCUCACAUCAUCAAAUCUUAACAAAGAACACCGGUAGACAGAUUGGUGGGAUCACUAGUACGUACACGAUUUACCAAUGGGACUCUUAGAUUUGUUAAGCAUAGUGAAGAACUCAAGAAUAUAGAAAACAAAGAGAGAAGAAAUUAGAGAGAGAAGAGUUAAAGCUUGAGAGAAGAUAGAAAGAAGAUACACAGAAAAUCAUUGAUUAUUUUUCUUCAGUGUUCAAUCUUACACAUAUCUGCUUCUUUAUCUUGUUACAACAACCUUAUCCUUCUAUUACAACAUUAUUCAUUACAACUAAGCCUAACAACCUUUAUAACUGCCUAGUGUAAUCUAUCCUUCCAAUUACUGACACGUGGCCUGAUCCUCAUCAUUCAUUCUUCAUACUCUAAGAUCCCCCCUCAAGCUCAUGGUGGGAUGAACCAAGCAUGAGAUUGGAGUAGUGAGUAUUGAAUAAAGGAGAGC
rnacentral:lncRNA from 1 species